AUUGAACGCUGGCGGCAUGCCUUACACAUGCAAGUCGAACGGUAACGGGUCCUUCGGGAUGCCGACGAGUGGCGAACGGGUGAGUAAUAUAUCGGAACGUGCCCAGUAGUGGGGAUAACUGCUCGAAAGAGCAGCCAAUACCGCAUACGACCUGAGGGUGAAAGGGGGGGAUCGCAAGACCUCUCGCUAUUGGAGCGGCCGAUAUCAGAUUAGCUAGUUGGUGGGGUAAAGGCCUACCAAGGCAACGAUCUGUAGUUGGUCUGAGAGGACGACCAGCCACACUGGGACUGAGACAUGGCCCAGACUCCUACGGGAGGCAGCAGUGGGGAAUUUUGGACAAUGGGCGCAAGCCUGAUCCAGCAAUGCCGCGUGCAGGAAGAAGGCCUUCGGGUUGUAAACUGCUUUUGUCAGGGAAGAAAUCUUCUGGGCUAAUACCCCGGGAGGAUGACGGUACCUGAAGAAUAAGCACCGGCUAACUACGUGCCAGCAGCCGCCGUAA
rnacentral:rRNA from 1 species